CAGGAACGUGCAGGAGGCAAGGUUUUCAAUAUAAAUUAGAACUGUGUCAUCACAGAAUCAGAAGCAAACUCAUUCAGCUGACUGAAAACUAAAAAUGUCACCUAACUCAAGAUACUCUUGUCUAAUCCAAACAUAUAUCCACCACUCAAUCUCUUCUUGCCAGUCACAUGAAGGUGGCAUGUUUUUAUCCUUGCAUCUGAAAGAAAAGUCUUCUGAGAGGAUUGGAACAGGAGCUCAAUCCACAGCGAUGAGCAACAGAGAAUGGAUGUUAUUUCCUUAAGUGUGUACAGAGCCCUGGAUCACUGUAGGAGAGGAGGAAGGGUGUGCUUAUUGACCACUGCCUUCUGAAUAGCAUCGGGUGGCUCACAAUGGAAUAUGAGUGUGUUUGCUCAGUUCUAGUGAGCACAUGCCAUCACCUCAAUUGGACAUAAGUGGAAGACUGAUUGACAGCCUGAGUGUUGAGCCCGAUGAGUGCUUUCUUUUAUUGGAUUUACAAGACUGUUUAUUAUGUAGUGAGUGCCACUGACAAAGUAGUAUAUUCCUGAGAAGAUGAAUUGCACACAGUAAGCCCAGGCUGAUCCUGAUGUUUCAGUAAAUUAUUGAAUGCUCAUACCAUGAAAUUAUCAGUGUGACAUUUCUCAA
rnacentral:lncRNA from 1 species